AUACGGAGGGUGCGAGCGUUAAUCGGAAUCACUGGGCGUAAAGCGCUCGUAGGCGGUUUGUUAAGUCGGAUGUGAAAGCCCCGGGCUCAACCUGGGAACUGCAUUCGAUACUGGCAGACUAGAGUAUAGUAGAGGCAAGUGGAAUUCCGGGUGUAGCGGUGAAAUGCGUAGAUAUCCGGAGGAACAUCAGUGGCGAAGGCGACUUGCUGGACUAAUACUGACGCUGAGGAGCGAAAGCGUGGGGAGCAAACGGGAUUAGAAACCCCGGUAGUCC
rnacentral:rRNA from 1 species